UCUAAUAUGGCAGAUUAGUGCAAUGAACUUAAGACUCAUACAUAAAGUAAAACUUUUAUUAGAA
rnacentral:tRNA from 1 species